rnacentral:lncRNA from 1 species
GGCGCAUUCAGGAGUGCCGUCCCUCGUGGCUAGUCAUGGCCUGGGAAACAUUACGGCUCCAUCCCGGUUUGCUUAAGGAGCAAGAGUUGGCGUUCAAGAUACCAGGAGUUUGAAAUGGAAAAAACUGGCCGCGCUGCUCAAGCUGGGAUGAUGUAAUCUGCCUUCUAGGGCGAGGAACAGAGGGCCGAGGAUCACCUGGGCGUUGGGAGCACCUCCCGCCAAGUGGAAGCCUCGGUGCUGUGCUCUACAUGGAGAACCAGCUCCAGAACUUUAGCCACCUUUCGGAGUAAGGACGGCCCAAGAGCACUAUACGGAAGCGGGACCCUUCCCUUCGGCCGGAAUUGAACCACCAGCGUCCCAAACUGAAGGAUAGUGAAGCCAACCCCAACCCCAAGCUGCCUCUUCCUUGACUAUCAUUUCUUAUGGCUAACACCCUUUCUUCCCUCUCCUCAGCCUCAGGUACAUUAAGGCAAGAACCAACAGGGCAUGGCCAGGCUAUUAAUUCCGUGUGCCUACAGCUUAUUAUGAAGAAGAUGCAUUCGUUUUCUCUGCCUGCUUCUGAGUAGGUGCAGAAGCAGCCCAUGAGAGAGCCGUUGGCAGCCAAAGUUUUCUAAAAACACCCAGGCAACAGCUGUCCUUGGCUGUCACCUGACUUGCCAGGCCCUGAGUCAGCACCACUCCCCCACCCGGCCUCCCCUGCUGAGCCAGAUCUGACUUGCCCUUUCCUGGCUGGGCCAAACCGGUUGGGCCAGCCCUGCCCCAUCCCAGCAUCCUCCUCAGGAGGUGACUUCUUGCUCCCUUACUGUCACCUGGGGUCCCACCCUUGCACUGUGCUUGUCAUCCAGAGCAGCACCCUCAUGCCUGAAAGUUUAGCCCUCCCUGAGGGGAGUUGAGAGACCACCCCUGAGCUGCUGGAGACAACGGGGAGGCUCUGGAAUUGGUCCCUGGGCCCUAACAUCUCCUUCUAUUUACCGAAGAGCAUCAUCCUUCUCUUGGUGACUCUGGGAUUUGCUUUAGGAGAAAAGCAGAAGAAAAUACAAAGACUCUAGAGGAGGAUUCCACACCCAGGUUCAAGCCCAGAAGAGAACAGGGCUGGGGCAAUCCGAAGACCA